GCGGACGGCUCAGUAACACGUAGUCAACCUAACUCGUGGACGUGGAUAACCUCGGGAAACUGAGAAUAAACCACGAUAGAUCAUAAUGCCUGGAAUGGCUUAUGGUCCAAACAGUUUACUGCCAUGGGAUGGGACUGCGGCCUAUCAGCUUGUUGGUGAGGUAAUGGCCCACCAAGGCGAUUACAGGUACGGGCUCCGAGAGGAGAAGCCCGGAGAUGGGUACUGAGACACGGACCCAGGCCCUAUGGGGCGCAGCAGGCGAGAAACCUUAGCAAUGUGCGAAAGCACGACUGGGUCAGUCCGAGUGAUUCCUGAUAAAGGAGUCUUUUGCUUGUCCUAAAAGCACAGGUGAAUAAGGGGUGGGCAAGUCUGGUGUCAGCCGCCGCGGUAAUACCAGCACCUCGAGUGGUCAGGACGUUUAUUGGGCCUAAAGCAUCCGUAGCCGGCUUUGCAAGUCUUCGGUUAAAUCAACCUGCUCAACAGAUUGGCCGCUGGAGAUACUACAAGGCUAGGGAGUGGGAGAGGCAGACGGUAUUCGGGGGGUAGGGGUAAAAUCCUCUGAUCCUCUGAGGACCACCAGUGGCGAAGGCGGUCUGCCAGAACACGUUCGACGGUGAGGGAUGAAAGCUGGGGGAGCAAACCGGAUUAGAUACCCGGGUAGUCCCAGCUGUAAACGAUGCAAACUCGGUGAUGCAUUGGCUUAUGGCCA
rnacentral:rRNA from 1 species